UGGACCGUCCAACUUGACCCAUA
rnacentral:siRNA from 1 species